rnacentral:rRNA from 1 species
UACGUAGGGGGCAAGCGUUAUCCGGAUUUACUGGGUGUAAAGGGAGCGUAGGCGGCGAAGCAAGUCAGAAGUGAAAGCCCGGGGCUCAACCGCGGGACUGCUUUUGAAACUGCCUGGCUGGAUUGCAGGAGAGGUAAGCGGAAUUCCUGGUGUAGCGGUGAAAUGCGUAGAUAUCAGGAGGAACACCGGUGGCGAAGGCGGCUUACUGGACUGUAAAUGACGCUGAGGCUCGAAAGCGUGGGGAG